UUCCAAUAAGCGGAGGAAAAGAAACCAACAGGGAUUGCCUUAGUAACGGCGAGUGAAGCGGCAAAAGCUCAAAUUUGAAAUCUGGCACUUUCAGUGUCCGAGUUGUAAUUUGAAGAAGGUAACUCUGGAGUUGGCCCUUGUCUAUGUUCCUUGGAACAGGACGUCACAGAGGGUGAGAAUCCCGUGCGAUGGGGUGUCCAAUUCUAUGUAGAGUGCUUUCGAAGAGUCGAGUUGUUUGGGAAUGCAGCUCUAAGUGGGUGGUAAAUUCCAUCUAAAGCUAAAUAUUGGCGAGAGACCGAUAGCGAACAAGUACAGUGAUGGAAAGAUGAAAAGAACUUUGAAAAGAGAGUGAAAAAGUACGUGAAAUUGUUGAAAGGGAAGGGCUUGAGAUCAGACUCGGUAUUUUGCGAUCCUAUCCUUCGUGGAGAGGUUUCACUUGCAGCUUACCGGGCCAGCAUCGGUUUGGAUGGUAGGAUAAUGACAUUGGAAUGUGGCUUUUCGGAGUGUUAUAGCCUUUGUUGAUACUGCCUAUCUAGACCGAGGACUGCGUCUUUGA
rnacentral:rRNA from 1 species